ensembl:misc_RNA Y_RNA Y RNA
GGCUGAUCCAAGUGUAGUGGUGUUUACAACUAAUUGAUCACAACCAAUUACAGAUUUCUUUGUUCCUUCUCCACUCCCACUGCUUCACUUGACUAGCCUUAA